rnacentral:rRNA from 1 species
AGAGUUUGAUCCUGGCUCAGGAUGAACGCUAGCGACAGGCUUAACACAUGCAAGUCGAGGGGCAGCACGGGAGUAGCAAUACAACUGGUGGCGACCGGCGCACGGGUGAGUAACGCGUAUGCAACCUACCUAUCAGAGGGGAAUAACCCGGCGAAAGUCGGACUAAUACCGCAUAAAACAGGGGCACCGCAUGGUGAUAUUUGUUAAAGAAAUUCGCUGAUAGAUGGGCAUGCGUUCCAUUAGGUAGUUGGUGAGGUAACGGCUCACCAAGCCGACGAUGGAUAGGGGAACUGAGAGGUUGGUCCCCCACACUGGUACUGAGACACGGACCAGACUCCUACGGGAGGCAGCAGUGAGGAAUAUUGGUCAAUGGGCGAGAGCCUGAACCAGCCAAGUCGCGUGAAGGAAGAAGGAUCUAUGGUUCGUAAACUUCUUUUGCAGGGGAAUAAAGUGCAGGACGUGUCCUGUUUUGUAUGUACCCUGAGAAUAAGGAUCGGCUAACUCCGUGCCAGCAGCCGCGGUAAUACGGAGGAUCCGAGCGUUAUCCGGAUUUAUUGGGUUUAAAGGGUGCGUAGGUGGUUUGAUAAGUCAGCGGUGAAAGUUUGCAGCUUAACUGUAAAAAUGCCGUUGAAACUGUCGGACUUGAGUGUAAAUGAGGUAGGCGGAAUGCGUGGUGUAGCGGUGAAAUGCAUAGAUAUCACGCAGAACUCCGAUUGCGAAGGCAGCUUACUAAGCUACAACUGACACUGAAGCACGAAAGCGUGGGGAUCAAACAGGAUUAGAUACCCUGGUAGUCG